UACGUAGGGUGCGAGCGUUAAUCGGAAUUACUGGGCGUAAAGCGUGCGCAGGCGGUGAUGUAAGACAGAUGUGAAAUCCCCGGGCUCAACCUGGGAACUGCAUUUGUGACUGCAUCGCUGGAGUGCGGCAGAGGGGGAUGGAAUUCCGCGUGUAGCAGUGAAAUGCGUAGAUAUGCGGAGGAACACCGAUGGCGAAGGCAAUCCCCUGGGCCUGCACUGACGCUCAUGCACGAAAGCGUGGGGAGCGAACGGG
rnacentral:rRNA from 1 species